rnacentral:rRNA from 1 species
AUGGGGUGCAGCAGGCGAGAAAACUUUGCAAUGUGCGCAAGCACGACAAGGUUAAUCCGAGUGUUUCCUUCUAAAGGAAUCUUUUGUUUGUCGUAAAACCACUAACGAAUAAGGGGUGGGCAAGUUCUGGUGUCAGCCGCCGCGGUAAAACCAGCACCUCAAGUGGUCAGGAGGAUUAUUGGGCCUAAAGCGUCCGUAGCCUGUUCUAUAAGUUUCCGGUUAAAUCCAUUAGCUCAACUAAUGGGCCGCCGAAAAUACUGUAGAACUAGGGAGUGGGAGAGGUAGACGGUAUUCGGUAGGAAGGGGUAAAAUCCUUUGAUCUAUUGAGGACCACCUGUGGCGAAGGCGGUCUACCAGAACACGUUCGACGGUGAGGGAUGAAAGCUGGGGGAGCAAACCGGAUUAGAUACCCGGGUAGUCCCAGCUGUAAACGAUGCAGACUCGGUGAUGCGCUGGCUUGUNNNNNNNGCAGUGCCGCAGGGAAGCCGUUAAGUUUGCCGCCUGGGAAGUACGUACGCAAGUAUGAAACUUAAAGGAAUNGGNGGGGGAGCAC